GAGUUUGAACCUGGCUCAGGAUGAACGCUGGCGGCGUGCCUAAUACAUGCAAGUCGAGCGAACCACUUCGGUGGUGAGCGGCGAACGGGUGAGUAACACGUAGGUGAUCUGCCCAUCAGACGGGGACAACGAUUGGAAACGAUCGCUAAUACCGGAUAGGACGAAAGUUUAAAGGUGCUUCUGGCACCGCUGAUGGAUGAGCCUGCGGCGCAUUAGCUAGUUGGUAGGGUAAAGGCCUACCAAGGCGACGAUGCGUAGCCGACCUGAGAGGGUGAACGGCCACACUGGGACUGAGACACGGCCCAGACUCCUACGGGAGGCAGCAGUAGGGAAUCUUCGGCAAUGGGCGAAAGCCUGACCGAGCAACGCCGCGUGAAUGAUGAAGGCCUUCGGGUUGUAAAAUUCUGUUAUAAGGGAAGAACGACUUUAGUAGGAAAUGGCUAGAGUGUGACGGUACCUUAUGAGAAAGCCACGGCUAACUACGUGCCAGCAGCCGCGGUAAUACGUAGGUGGCGAGCGUUAUCCGGAAUUAUUGGGCGUAAAGAGCGCGCAGGUGGUUGAUUAAGUCUGAUGUGAAAGCCCACGGCUUAACCGUGGAGGGUCAUUGGAAACUGGUCGACUUGAGUGCAGAAGAGGGA
rnacentral:rRNA from 1 species